rnacentral:lncRNA from 12 species
AUGACGGGGGCAUCUGCAGCUGGUGACACUCUUAGGAAAGUUAUUUCUCAUAAUCCUGGGAAGUGGCACACUGUUGCCACAGCAGAGCGAGCCCUGAGGUGCUCAAAAUUGCAUCCUGGAAAAUACCGAGUGUCCCAGAAGCCCUGGCCUAGAGGACCAGGAAGACUGACAGCAGCUGGCCUAACUGGGUCCCUCAAAGGCCAGAAGUUGACUGUUUCUACCCCCAGCCUCUGCCCCAAGAACUCGAGACCCACCCCAACGCCUCACGCACAGCCUACUACCAAUUCACCUUCUGCUCUUGCACUGUGUCUGUUUUGUUCAUUUGUUUAAAUCAUUUCACAUUCACUCUUGAGUUGGCCACCCCCCACCCCACCCCCACCCCUGCUGCUGUGUGUUGGGGAGGAGCACCCAGUCAGGGCCUGGGCUCUGGAGUGGGUUCCAUCACUAAAGCCCCUGAGUGAGCUUGCUGGCAACAACAUGUGACCUCUCAGCCAUCAUUCUCCCACGUGUAAAAUGAGGGUCUUGGUGCUGCCUUGCCUCCAAUAUGCUUUGAGCCCACAAUCUUCACCCCGUGAGCAGUGGGAAACAUAAUGUGUGAUGGGGGAACACAAGGCUAGCUGAGGACAAGGCACGAGCCUAGAGCAGCACAUUGACAAGUCCUUGAAAGAGGCAGAGGGACUCUACGGACUCAGCUGCCUCGAUGUUCAUGCUUUGCUAAGGGCAGGAGACAAUCCUAGCCUGACCCCUAUGACCCUGAGAGUCUACUUUAACAUAUAAAAAUUCCUUCAGAAAUUUCCUUUAUGUCCAAACCCCCAAUAUACGUGUUGGCAAUCAUCCCCCAAGCACAUGGCCCACCGACAUACAUCUGAAGGGUCUCAUGACUCAGGUUUUAUUAGACGGUAAUAAGUGACCUUUUCCCAAUGAAAGCCAGCCCCCUCAAGGUCCUGGAAACCUUGCUUCCAAAAUUCCUUAGAGAGUACACGAUGCUGAAACCCCUCCCAACUCCCAGGUCUAUAAUCUGCCACAGGCCCCGGGGCAGCAGUCCUUCCUACCCACGGGUCCUGUCCCCUGUGCUUUAAUAAAACCACCAUUUUGCACCA